AUACGGAGGAUCCGAGCGUUAUCCGGGUUUAUUGGGUUUAAAGGGUGCGCAGGCGGCCAUUUAAGUCAGCGGUUAAAUCGUGGGGCUCAACCCCAUUCUGCCGUUGAUACUGGGUGGCUUGAUUGCGGUCGAGGUUGGCGGAAUUCGUUGUGUAGCGGUGAAAUGCAUAGAUAUGACGAAGAACACCGAUUGCGUAGGCAGCUGACCAGACCGCAAAUGACGCUCAUGCACGAAAGUGCGGGGAUCGAACAGGAUUAGAUACCCUGGUAGUCCGCACAGUAAACGAUGAAUACUUGUUUUCGGCGAUAUAAUGUCGGAGGCAAAGCGAAAGCGAUAAGUAUUCCACCUGGGGAGUACGCCGGCAACGGUGAAACUCAAAGGAAUUGACGGGG
rnacentral:rRNA from 1 species